rnacentral:rRNA from 1 species
CGGGUGAGUAACACGUAUCCAACCUGCCGUCUACUCUUGGACAGCCUUCUGAAAGGAAGAUUAAUACAAGAUGGCAUCAUGAGUCCGCAUGUUCACAUGAUUAAAGGUAUUCCGGUAGACGAUGGGGAUGCGUUCCAUUAGAUAGUAGGCGGGGUAACGGCCCACCUAGUCUUCGAUGGAUAGGGGUUCUGAGAGGAAGGUCCCCCACAUUGGAACUGAGACACGAUCCAA